rnacentral:misc_RNA from 1 species
CUGCUGCAGGAAAUCGACGACGCGUGGCUUGCUGUGCAUUUCGUCGAGCACACAGUGAGCGUCAACGGCGCACUGCGCAGCAGCAGAGAGGAGGCAUCGGCAGAGGGCUCGCGGCUGGGAGAGGAGCACAGGGGCGCCCUGCGCUGCGGAGAUGAAGGGCACAGCUUCCGGCAACCCAACGACAUGGAGAACAGGGAGGGCGUGGCUGGAGGAAAGGGGCGAGCUGCUUGUGGCCAUGGGGGGAAGAAGAAAGGGCGCCAUCGAGGGAGCUUCAACAGUGGAGCGCUCGGCUGCUGGGCUGCUCACCGUGGACAGCAGAGGAAGGCAGAUGCAGUGCAGAAAGGGCGCUCAAAACUGCUGGCCGGAGCUAGGGCUCGGCCAUGGGAAAGAAGGGGAAGGAGGAAGGGGAGCCGACUGGUGGAGACGGGAGAGCUCGGCUCCAUGCAGAUGUGGAGCUCGCCAUUUGGAGCAGUGGCAGGGGGCGUCCAUGGCUGUUGGCCGAGCAGAGGCAUCGGUGUGCUCCCAAGGAGCUUCUGCUCCUGCGCGCACGAAGCAGAGAAGGAGGAAGAUGGGGCGCUGGUGGUCUGCUGCUGGAGGAAGAAGAAGAGGGGCAGGGGGCACCGCGCCAUUGCUGGCCGAGGGGAGGAAGGGCGCUGCUGCUGGGCGCCACAGUCAGUUUCACAUAAACUAAGUCUGCAGGUGGAGAACUUAGAUGAGGAUGACAGAAUGUUUCAGGAUGCUGCUAUUCAAGAUCCACAGCAACCACAACAGUCUAUUGUAGUUGGGAGGGCCAAAAGAGAUAUUAGGCCUCUAAAGAGAUUGAUUGAAGAAUGCAACACUGCUUUUGCUCUAAGUUGUGCAGAGGAUAUUGAUUGCAGUGUAGAGCCUUCCACUUAUAAUGAAGCAAUGGUUUCCAAUGAUCGUGACAAAUGGGUGUUUGCUAUGCAAGAGCAGAUGCAGUCACUUGAGAAAAAUGGUACAUGA